rnacentral:lncRNA from 1 species
GCCAUGGGAUAAUACAGCAAGAAGGCCUACACCAGAAGCCAACAUCACACUUUUGGACUUCUCAGCCCCAGAACUGACUUUACCAAAGGGUACAAGAAUGAGCUAACACACUCCAAGACUGUGACAUUUUUCUACGUGAGUCAAGGCUGAACUUCCAUGUUAUUGUCUCCUGUAUACAGAGCAGGAAGCUAAGACUCAAAGAGAUUAAAUAGCAAUUCCGAUCAGUAAAAAGCAGAGCACAGACAUGAAUGAGUUUAUCCUAUUUCAAAAUUAUUAUUCUUUUUUAAAUUUCAUCUUUAUAACUUUUUUAUUUCUAACUACAGAAGUAAGUACAUAAGCAUGACGGAAAAAUUGGAAUAUACAGAAAUGUAUUUUAUAUUUCUUUUCAGUCUCUCUUUCAGAACACACAAAAACACAUGUAGUAUUUCAUCAGGAUCGGUCAUAACAUGUUCUUUCCACUUCUCUACAAAGGUACAGAAUUCUCACCCUCAAGCAGGAAGAACAGCCCCAAGAAUUCCAGGUUGCCAACAGUUUAUUAAUCAAGUGAAAGCAAACUCAAAAUUUUCUCAAGUGAGCUUAUAUUUCACUGUGUUAAUUUUCAGAUAGCCCAUUAUAAUUUAAUAAUACACACACAAGAUUAAUUGAAAUUUAAAAAUAUUUCUGUUUUGUACCUGAUUUCAGAAAUGGUACUAGGGUAUAAUGAAUGUAAAGUCUAACUAAAGAACGAACAAUCCCAGCCACCAAAAAGACAAUCAAUAGAAAUAAAAUAAAGUCCAAUAUCCAAUAUUCAUCCAUUCAUUUAUCAUUCAACAAGUAAUUUUGAGUACCUGUCAUGGGCCAGACUUUGUUUUGGGGCCCAAGGAUAAAACUGUAAACAAAUAGACAAAUUCCCUGCCUUCAGAGAGCUUACACUCCACUAAGGAGAAACUGACAAUAAAUAAAUUGAGAAAAUAUCAGGUUGUAAUAAGUACUGUGGAGAAAAAUAAAUCAGGAUAAAAGGAUGGAAAGUGCUGAGGAAGGAAGUUGCUUUUUUAUGCUAUGUAUUACCUCAGAAUGCCGUAACAAAAUAUCACAGACUGGUUAGCAUAAACAACAGACAUGUAUUUUCUCCCCAUUCUGGAGGCUAGAAGGCCAAGAUCAGGGUUCCAGCCGAUUCCAUUUCUGAUGAGGGCUCUCUUCUGACUGGCUGAUGGCCAAGUUCUUUCUAUAGCUUCACAAGGCCUUUUUUCAGUAUUUGCUGGAGGAGGGAGAGAGAGUGAGCUCUCUGGAUUCUUUUCUUAUAAGAACACUAAGCCAUCGAUAAAGGCCCCACCCUUCUGAUCUCAUUUAACCUUAAUUAGUUCCCUAUUCCAAAUACAGUCACACUGGGUGUUAGGGUUUCAAUAUUUGAAUUUUGGAGGGGUACAUGCCUUCAGUCCAUAACAUACAGGUUAUUCAGAGAAGACGUCCCUGAUAAGAUGUGGUAGCUAACUUUCAGGAUGACCCUCAGUGGGCCUCAUCUUCUGGUGUUCACACCCUUGGAUAGUCUCUUCCCAAAUAAAUUAGGAAUUGGGACUGGUCUCAAUGUGAUAGAGUCAAGGGCUGGUCUCAGUGCAACAGAGUAGAGCAGAGAUUAAGAUAUUUCACCUCUGAGGCUGGGUCAUAAAAGGCACCAAAGCUUCCACUCUGUUUUUUUGGAUCACUCUCUCUGGGACAAGCCAGCCUCCAUGGCAUAAGGACACUCAAACACCCUUGGGAGAAGACCAUGCGGGAAGGAAGUCAGACUUCCCACCAAGAGUACUAAUUUGUCAAACAUGUGAAUGAGCAAGCUUGCAAGUGGAACCUCCAGCCCCAGUAAAACCUUCGGAUAUCUGACUGCAGCUCCAGUUGAAGUUUGAACUCCAACCUCACUGGAAGCCCUUAACCAGAACCACUCUGCUGAACUGAUUCCAAAUUCUUGGCCCCAGAAAAGGUGAGAUAAUAAGUAUUUGUUGUUAUUUUAAGCCACUAAAUUUUGGAGCAAUUUGUUAUGCAGCAAGAGAGAAGUAAUGCAUAAAGUGACAUUGAGAGACCCAAAGGAAAUAAGCAAGUAAACUCUGCAUGUAUCUGGGAAUGAAGACUUUCAGGUAGAAGGAAAGUGUUAAGGCCACACAAUUCGAGCACAUGUGGCAUGUUGAAAGAACAGCAAAGAACACGGUGAGCCAGAAACAGAAUGAGCCAGGACAAGAAACAUAGGAGACUGGUCAGAGAGGAGGUAAAAGGUCAGAGCACACAGAGUCUCAGGUGUCUGCAACCCAACCACAAUGAUGUAUGAAGAAACAUUCACUUGGGAACAGCAUCUUGUUUGUUUAGAUGAAAUAUUCUGAUGAGCUUUAACUUUCAUGUCAUUGGAUCAUAUCAGCCACCUUGGUGAUAUCAACAACUCUCAUUCACAUACAAAUAACUCUUGUUUGUAUGUUUACAACUCCCAAAUUCAUAUUUCCAGUCUAGACUUCUCCCUGAACUUCAGUGUUCUAUACCCAAGGGCCUAGAAAACAACUCAUCUUGAUUGUCUAAUGGGCGUCUCCAACUUAUUGUGUCUAAAAUCAAAUUUCUGGACUUUCUUCACCUCACCCUCAACCUCUGAAAGUAAAACAAUCCAUUAUUUCAAGUACUCAAGCCAAAAACCUUUAAGUCUUUCUUUACUCUCCUCUUGUUUUCCUCUAUAUGCCCAUCAAAAAAAUCAGCAAAGUCUAUUAACACACUUUUGAAAAUGUAUCCACAACCCAACACUUCUUACCACCUCUAUCUCAAUCACCCUUCUCCAAGCCACUGCUAUUUCUAGUCUAGAUUAUGGUAUAAGCCUCUAACCAGUCCCUACAACCACCCUUUUCCUGCUAUAGUCUACUGCCAGCUCAGUAGCCAUAAAGAGAUCUGAUCAAACAAAUCAGAGCAUGCCAUUUCUCUGCCUCAGAUCCCCCAGUGUAUCCCCAUCUUGCUCAAUGUAAAUACCAAAAUCUUCAUAGGAUAAGGCCCCUCAGGAUCUUGCCUAAUUAUCUUUCCAAACUCAUCUCCCUUGAUUCUGGCCCUUGCUCACUCAGCUUCAGCCACCAUGGCCUCCUUGCUGUCCUAGAAACAAGCCAGGCACACGUCUGCCUCAGAAACUGUGCCCUGCUGUUCCUUUUGUCUGGAAUGCUCUUUCCUCAGAUAUACCCAAAAUUCACUCCCUUACCUCCUUUAGGCAUUUGCCCAAAUACUACCUUAUCAGCAAAAUCUUCCCUCACCACCCUGUAAAAAUUGCAGCACCCUCUCCAGAAUCCCUUAGCCCUUGUUUGUCUUAUUCUUGUACACAGCUAUUAUCAUUAUCUGACAUAUUAUACAUUUUAAUUAUUUAUUUGUUGUAUUUAUUUAUUUUGUCUGUCUCUGAUAUGGUUUGACUGUGUCCUUAGCCAAAUCUCAUCUUGAAUUGUAGCUCCC